AGUGCACCGUCCUCGGGUUCGGGUCUUACGAAAAACCGAGACCGGGGAUUACUCUUGUUCGUGUUUCGCCAUUUCCUCUCCGACGUCAAUCCCAGCACCGAGCGGUAUCUCGCCCUCGAGACCGAGGGCACUGCUCCUUUCGGCUCCCUAGGGAAUCCUGGAUGUUAAACAUCCUAAGAAGUCGAUCCCAUUGCUUCGAACAAAGGAGGGAACUGACGGAAGAUUCGGUUUUUCGACCAUUACCCAUCCCGCCCUUUGGGUGUACCUAAUUAACCGUUAAUUUACGCCCCUGCACAUUAUCUACUUCUACACUUCUUUGACCGUAUUAUCAAUGUUAACGAUGAAUGUAGUCGUAAGUCGCCGUUUUCCAAAUCUGAAAUUUUAAUUCCAGCUCGCGAUUGGUUGGGGAUAGAAUUAUCAUUUUACUGCCGAAGAAUAUGACUGAUCCCUGCGGUCGGUGAGUCCCAUUAAAGCAGUCCCAUUUCCAUUCACCUGGACGUGGGCAAAAUAGUUUCCCAUCUAGAUGUUUCAAUCUGCGGUUUAGCUGAAACUGGUACGGACCAACAAUGUGCCAACAUUGUGAAAUUCAAGUGAACGGACAUAACCGUGCUUUAAUUCUGAAUCUGUAUAUAUAUUUCCUGACGAUUGCUGUCCGCUUAAUCUGGAAUACAUAAGUCCGCGAGGGUAAUUAUUUCCUUCUGUUAUCGAAAUAAGGAAUAUUCAACCUCAUUGGAAAACCUGUUCAAUGGGAACGUUAACAAGAUUAAUAAAUAAUUUGGAGGAUCGAGGGCAUCCGUAUUAUUCGUCGAGCGACUCUUCUUCUUUCCAGGAGGAAAUAUGAAAAUGAAAAUUCACACGACCAAGCCUCGACGAAAUUUACGUCACAUGGAGCUUUACAAGCAACGGAAUAAGAUAACAAAAUCCACGUGUCGUAAUUGAACAUUCCUUUAAAUAGUCUCGUAUUAUCCAGAGUACGUUCUCCGUUACCUUGACCUUGCGUUAUCUGCAGAGGUCCGAUCUAACGGAAUCACGGUUACAUAAUUAUGACAGUCUGAAUUACGAUGCAGUUAGUCCCGUUUCAUGAUUCCUUUCCAUGUAAACAAAAAAAAAGAGUUGUGCAUAAUCAUCGCUCUUAAUGCAAACACCACUUGCUGACUCUUCGCUUUUUGUAUUUAAUUUCCUUCGUCCAACAGCGAGUAUUAAAUUCUCCUGCUUAAAGCACUCCACUGGGCGAAACGUAAACUCGCUGGAUUGGUUAUUAAAUAAAAAAAGAUUCUAUAAUAAGAGGUCCUUCGUUCUCUGGUUAUUUAUGCUAGAACAAAAUGAGCGAUGACAACCUGUUCGUGAAAUCCUCCCUCUUCGUCUCUCUAUAAAUCUCCAUAUCAUACGUUUCUCGGCCACCGUUUUAUCCUAUUUUUUCUGCUUCUCUCUCCCUUUUUACAGAUACGUAAAAUCGUGCUCUUCGAAGUCUUAGGCCGGCUGCAAUUUGCCAGACAAAAAGAGCAAGAAGAAAGGCCACCGGUAGCACCGGUCCUAAUCAGUGGCUCCUCGGAAGAUGCCUUCGGUAUUCAGGCAUCUCGCACCAACGUCGCCCGAGGUUAUAGCAUUAUCGAUUCUGGAGAAAUCCUUCGCAACAUCGACGUCCCAUCCACGAUGUUGGUUAGACCGAACCCUUUGCACCACUUUGUUUCCCGAAGCUCAAGAGAAAGAGUGGCUGGCUACAACGGAAAGCUCCUUUGAGCUAAUUAUGUGCCGUGGGAGAGCACUGGACCUCUCUAAGGGUCCAAGAUAAUAGAUGUCUCGAAGGGAGCUAUUUUGGACCACUUUGGAAUUAUCUUUUAACAACACAAUCUUAUCACGUUGCAGGAGAUCGGCAAAAACUGAGCAGACACCAGGACCGUAUUAUCAUAGGAAGUUGAAUUACAGAUCAAAGGAUUUUAAUCUCCACCAUGCCCUGAAUGUAUAUUAACAAACUCCCAAGAAAAAUAACAUAGUCCCAGGACGCCUUCCGUUCGGCUCUAGACUAUGUGGCCAAAGACGUAUUUCGGUGACUGGAAUUACGUUUUUGCACCCUUCCUAAUGGUAUGAGACUAUUAUCUAAUUAAUGAAACCCAUGGAAUAAAAUAAGGAACUCCAAUUUAAUGAACGGUAUCAGCAAUCGCGAUGGCUUUUCCUAAGAAUCCGUAUCCAGGAAGCACCGAGACAUUCACUUAUCCGAUCCAAAGUGUCCUUAGAGACAGCCUCGUGCAGGUUGUCUCGUUUAAAUCGACACAUAGCGCCUGUCCUAAGUAAUAUUCUAGAUCCGGAAGAAGCAUAAAAGAGCGUACUCAAGCAUGAAGCUGCACGACGAGGUACUGGCUGUGCAAGGAAGACGGGCGAAGGAACGAGUUAACCUGCCGAAAAGACCCGCCGUCAAGGCAAGGAUCUCUUCCAAGACGUCCAUACCCGGAAAGCAACCUCCAGGAUUAAAUAUUUCCAACCACAUCACCACCUCGAGCCCGGUACUCGGGCGAUCUCGAAGGACCCGUUCCCAGCGCUGUCCAGGAGUUAACCCGUCCUUGCAGGAGGCGCUGGCAGGCCG
rnacentral:lncRNA from 1 species